rnacentral:rRNA from 1 species
AUUGAACGCUGGCGGCAGGCCUAACACAUGCAAGUCGAGCGGAUGAAGGGAGCUUGCUCCUGGAUUCAGCGGCGGACGGGUGAGUAAUGCCUAGGAAUCUGCCUGGUAGUGGGGGAUAACGUCCGGAAACGGGCGCUAAUACCGUAUACGUCCUGAGGGAGAAAGUGGGGGAUCUUCGGACCUCACGCUAUCAGAUGAGCCUAGGUCGGAUUAGUUAGUUGGUGGGGUAAAGGCCUACCAAGGCGACGAUCCGUAACUGGUCUGAGAGGAUGAUCAGUCACACUGGAACUGAGACACGGUCCAGACUCCUACGGGGGGCAGCAGUGGGGAAUAUUGGACAAUGGGCGAAAGCCUGAUCCAGCCAUGCCGCGUGUGUGAAGAAGGUCUUCGGAUUGUAAAGCACUUUAAGUUGGGAGGAAGGGCAGUAAGUUAAUACCUUGCUGUUUUGACGUUACCAACAGAAUAAGCACCGGCUAACUUCGUG